GGUGUGAGGAAAGAGGAGAUAAAGGUAGAGAUUGAGGAUUCAAUGUUCCUCAUAAUUAGAACAGAGGCCAUUGCUGAAUUAACUAAAACUGUCGAGAACUUCAUGAGAAAAUUCCGGCUUCCGUGUUUUGGUUGACAUUGAUGGAAGUUCAGCUGGAUAUGAAGAUGGUGUCCUGAUAGUUACUGUACCAAGAUCUUACAAAGGAGAGGACUCCUUAUUGACCCAGCAGCUAUGCCUGAGAGGCUGGAAGUUACUGCUAGAGCUGCUUGAAUUAAUAAUUUUAACAUGAUUUGAUUAGCUGGUUAAACACUAAAUUUGGGUUUUGAUUACUUGUUAUAAUGGGUAAGCUAUAUACAAU
rnacentral:misc_RNA from 1 species